GGCGGUAUCGUCUAGAGGUUAGGACGCUAGAUUCUCAAUCUAGAAACCGGGGUUCGAUUCCCCGUACCGCUACCA
rnacentral:tRNA from 1 species